AGUCGAGGGGCAUCAGGAAGAAAGCUUGCUUUCUUUGCUGGCGACCGGCGCACGGGUGAGUAACACGUAUCCAACCUGCCCUUUACUCGGGGAUAGCCUUUCGAAAGAAAGAUUAAUACCCGAUGGCAUAAUGAUUCCGCAUGGUUUCAUUAUUAAAGGAUUCCGGUAAAGGAUGGGGAUGCGUUCCAUUAGGUUGUUGGUGAGGUAACGGCCCACCAAGCCUUCGAUGGAUAGGGGUUCUGAGAGGAAGGUCCCCCACAUUGGAACUGAGACACGGUCCAAACUCCUACGGGAGGCAGCAGUGAGGAAUAUUGGUCAAUGGGCGCUAGCCUGAACCAGCCAAGUAGCGUGAAGGAUGAAGGCUCUAUGGGUCGUAAACUUCUUUUAUAUAAGAAUAAAGUGCAGUAUGUAUACUGUUUUGUAUGUAUUAUAUGAAUAAGGAUCGGCUAACUCCGUGCCAGCAGCCGCGGUAAUACGGAGGAUCCGAGCGUUAUCCGGAUUUAUUGGGUUUAAAGGGAGCGUAGGUGGACUGGUAAGUCAGUUGUGAAAGUUUGCGGCUCAACCGUAAAAUUGCAGUUGAUACUGUCAGUCUUGAGUACAGUAGAGGUGGGCGGAAUUCGUGGUGUAGCGGUGAAAUGCUUAGAUAUCACGAAGAACUCCGAUUGCGAAGGCAGCUCACUGGACUGCAACUGACACUGAUGCUCGAAAGUGUGGGUAUCAAACAGGAUUAGAUACCCUGGUAGUCCACACAGUAAACGAUGAAUACUCGCUGUUUGCGAUAUACAGUAAGCGGCCAAGCGAAAGCAUUAAGUAUUCCACCUGGGGAGUACGCCGGCAACGGUGAAACUCAAAGGAAUUGACGGGGGCCCGCACAAGCGGAGGAACAUGUGGUUUAAUUCGAUGAUACGCGAGGAACCUUACCCGGGCUUAAAUUGCAGUGGAAUGAUGUGGAAACAUGUCAGUGAGCAAUCACCGCUGUGAAGGUGCUGCAUGGUUGUCGUCAGCUCGUGCCGUGAGGUGUCGGCUUAAGUGCCAUAACGAGCGCAACCCUUAUCUUCAGUUACUAACAGGUCAUGCUGAGGACUCUGGAGAGACUGCCGUCGUAAGAUGUGAGGAAGGUGGGGAUGACGUCAAAUCAGCACGGCCCUUACGUCCGGGGCUACACACGUGUUACAAUGGGGGGUACAGAAGGCAGCUAGCGGGUGACCGUAUGCUAAUCCCAAAAUCCUCUCUCAGUUCGGAUCGAAGUCUGCAACCCGACUUCGUGAAGCUGGAUUCGCUAGUAAUCGCGCAUCAGCCACGGCGCGGUGAAUACGUUCCCGGGCCUUGUACACACCGCCCGUCAAGCCAUGGGAGCCGGGGGUACCUGAAGUACGUAACCGCAAGGAUC
rnacentral:rRNA from 1 species